CAAAUACAAAUAUUUUAUACUAUUUAUGCGACGUAUAAUGAAAAUUGAUUAUGAUUGGAUAUAUAAGAGACCAUAAGCACUAGUUUUAUAAAUAUUUUAAGUUCUGGCGUUUUCAUCAGGUCCAGAAGACACUCGUUUCGCUAGUCUUAAUCGAUCUUGUGGCAAGCCGCACUUUACCCACAAUAGUCAUCAAAAUGAGAGCUUUGAUCUCUCCGCUGUAUAACCUUGACUCAGUCACACUUCGCUCUCUCCACUGUAUAACUCUGACUCAGUCAAAACUCAUCUCACAUUUUUAACUGGUAAUUGAUUCUCUUUGGGACUACUUUAAUCCUAACACACUUAAGUUUUUUAACCUCUUGAGUCUAGCCACCGCUCGAAAUGCUAUAGCUGAUUUAAAAAUUUUAAUUCUAUUAUAUUUUAUAUAUAGAACUAUCUGGAUUCUAACCAUUUAAUACAGUAUCUGCGUAAAAGUU
rnacentral:lncRNA from 1 species